GUCUUGUACCAAGUCAGGAAUAUGGCCUUUGUUAUAUUAUUGUUCGUUUCUGUGUGUGUUACAUUUUAACGUUGUGUUGUUUGUUUUCUCUUAUAUUUGAGUGUGAAUUCACAUUACUAUAAGACAUGUCACGGUACUUUUCUAUCCCAAAUUCAUGUAUUUGGUUUGGAUGAUAUAUUUGUUAUUCUCAUCAGAUUUUGUCUAAGGCAGCAACCAUUUGAUUUUCUGGGGGGGGGGGGGGCUAUGGUUUUUUUUUCUGGACAAAUUUUUUUUUUCGCCUGUGGCGAAAAACAAUCUAUUUUUUUCGCGACAAGUCGAAAACAAUUUUUUUCUUUCAAUUUUAGCAUUACAUAUAGUGGCAGCUGAGGGUGAAACAAACAAUUUUUUUUUCUCAGAAUCAAAAACAAAUUAUUUUUUUCUCCAAAAACUGGAAACAAAC
rnacentral:lncRNA from 1 species